GCUAGUAAUGGCAGGUCAGCAUACUGCCGUGAAUACGUUCCCGGGCCUUGUACACACCGCCCGUCACACCAUGAGAGUUGGGGAUACCCGAAGCCUGUGAGCCAACUAUAUAGAGGCAGCAGUCGAAGGUAGAAUCAAUGAUUGGGGUGAAGUCGUAACAAGGUAGC
rnacentral:rRNA from 1 species